rnacentral:rRNA from 1 species
AUACGGAGGGUGCAAGCGUUGUUCGGAAUCACUGGGCGUAAAGGGCGCGCAGGCGGUUUGGUAAGUCAGAUGUGAAAGCCCACGGCUCAACCGUGGAAGUGCAUUUGAAACUGUCAGACUUGAGUACUAGAGGGGAAAGUGGAAUUCCCGGUGUAGAGGUGAAAUUCGUAGAUAUCGGGAGGUAUACCGGUGGCGAAGGCGACUUUCUGGCUAGAUACUGACGCUGAGGCGCGAAAGCGUGGGGAGCAAACAGGAUUAGAAACCCUAGUAGUCC